rnacentral:tRNA from 1 species
GGCUAUAGCUCAGUGGCAGAGCGCUUGCCUAGCAUGCAUGAGGCACUGGGUUUGAUCCUCAGCACCA